rnacentral:rRNA from 1 species
GAUGAACGCUAGCGAUAGGCUUAACACAUGCAAGUCGAGGGGCAGCACAUGAGUGGCAACACGAUGGUGGCGACCGGCGCACGGGUGAGUAACACGUAUGCGACCUGCCCAUAACUGGGGGAUAACCCGUCGAAAGGCGGACUAAUACCGCAUGACAACGACGAUCCGCAUGGUGAUUCGUUUAAAGAUUUAUCGGUUAUGGAUGGGCAUGCGUUCCAUUAGGUAGUUGGCAGGGUAACGACCUACCAAGCCUACGAUGGAUAGGGGUUCUGAGAGGAAGGUCCCCCACGCUGGUACUGAGACACGGACCAGACUCCUGCGGGAGGCAGCAGUGAGGAAUAUUGGUCAAUGGGCGAGAGCCUGAACCAGCCAAAUCGCGUGAAGGAUGAAGGUAUUAUGUAUUGUAAACUUCUUUUGUCGGGGAAUAAAGUGCAGCACGUGUGCUGUUUUGUAUGUACCCGAAGAAUAAGGAUCGGCUAACUCCGUGCCAGCCGCCGCCGUAAAAC